rnacentral:misc_RNA from 1 species
CAGAUGCGAUAAGUAAUGUGAAUUGCAGAAUUCAGUGAAUCAUCGAAUCUUUGAACGCACAUUGCGCCCGCCAGUAUUCUGGCGGGCAUGCCUGUUCGAGCGUCAUUUCAACCAUCAAGCCCCCGGCUUGUGUUGGGGACCUGCGGCUGCCCGCAGGCCCUGAAAAACAGUGGCGGGCUCGCUGUCACACCGAGCGUAGUAGCAUACAUUCUCGCUCAGGGCGUGCUGCGGGUUCCGGCCGUUAAACGACCUUCAUAACCCAAGGUUGACCUCGGAUCAGGUAGGAAGACCCGCUGAACUUAAGC